rnacentral:rRNA from 1 species
GACGAGGGGUCCAAGCGUUGUUCGGAAUCAUUGGGCGUAAAGCGGGUGUAGGCGGCUCUGCAAGUCAGAAGUGAAAGCCCCAGGCUUAACCUGGGAAGUGCUUUUGAUACUGCAGAGCUUGAAUGUGGGAGAGGAUGGUGGAAUUCCAGGUGUAGUGGUGAAAUACGUAGAUAUCUGGAGGAACUCCGGUGGCGAAGGCGGCCAUCUGGCCCAACAUUGACGCUGAGACCCGAAAGCGUGGGGAUCAAACAGG